rnacentral:rRNA from 1 species
GUAGGUGGCAAGCGUUGUCCGGAAUUAUUGGGCGUAAAGCGCGCGCAGGUGGUUCGUUUAAGUCUGAUGUGAAAGACCCCCGGGCUCAACCGGGGGAGGGUCAUUGGAAACUGGGGAACUUGAGUGCAGGAGAGGAAAGUGGAAUUCCACGUGUAGCGGUGAAAUGCGUAGAUAUGUGGAGGAACACCAGUGGCGAAGGCGACUUUCUGGCCUGUAACUGACACUGAGGCGCGAAAGCGUGGGGAGCAAACAGGAUUAGAUACCCUGGUAGUCCACGCCGUAAACGAUGAGUGCUAAGUGUUGGGGGGGUUUCCGGCCCCCUCAGUGCUGCAGCUAACGCAUUAAGCACUCCGCCUGGGGAGUACGGUCGCAAAGACUG